UUGUCUUUUAAAUGAAGACCCGUAUGAAUGGUAUUACGAGGACUUAACUGUCUCCUUUUUCCAGUCAAUGAAAUUGAUCUUCCCGUGCAGAAGCGGGAAUAUUUACAUAAGACGAGAAGACCCUAUGGAGCUUUAGACACCAGAACAGCCCCUGUCAAGCAUCCCCAACAGUAGCGAUGAAACUAAGUGGCCCCUGUCCUAAUGUCUUUGGUUGGGGCGACCUUGGGAAAACAAAAAACUCCCACAUGGACCGGGAGCACCUCUUGCUCCUACAACUUAGAGUCACAACUCAAAGUGACAGAACCUCUGACCAACAAGAUCCGGCAUAGCCGAUCAACGAACCGAGUUACCCUAGGGAUAACAGCGCAAUCCCCUUUUAGAGCCCAUAUCGACAAGGGGGUUUACGACCUCGAUGUUGGAUCAGGACAUCCUAAU
rnacentral:rRNA from 1 species